rnacentral:lncRNA from 1 species
AAAAAAGCUAAGAAAAACCUUCUUCCCUAUCUUCACACAUCCUUUUUUUGCACUAAGACAAUCGUGUAAACCUUCAUGUAACAACAAUCCAAAUUACCACCUACGAACAACCUUUUCCUCCAUAAAAGUUGAUAUUUAAACUCGCCUAAAAUUGCAAAAACGCAGCUGAAUAAACAGCCUCAAAAGAGCCCAUAUCCCAGCCAAAAAUGCAGCUGAAAAAACAGCCAUUAAAGCAGCUUAAAAAAACGCACGAAAGCCAGCACCAAAACUAUCUUUAAACAACCUGAAACCACUCAAAAACAACUGAAAAAAGCAGCCGUGUAAACCAGCUUCAAGACCACUCCUUUUCUCCAACUUUCAACCAUUAAACUGAGCCUAAACCUACUGAAACUAUCACAAACAACCAGUUGCGGCUGGUGUCUUUCUUUUGAGGUCUAUUCUUUGUUUGCCUUACGUGGUCAUCAAAGGUGCGGUCGAGUUUGAGAUUCCGUUGGAGGUGCUGACGAGGUCUCCAGUCGAGGUUAUGCUUUAGGCUCUUAAGAGGCUUUUUGUUUCGAUAUUUUGCAUCAGUGCUCAUUGAGAUUCUUUUUUUACUUUACUC